CUCCAUUCCCACCCCACUCCAGGGGAAGGUUACUGCAAAAUCCCCAUUUUCUCCCAAUCAGCUGGGACUCGGGAGGCAGAGAAUAGAUGGGGGCGAGGCCAGUCAGAAUUUUCACUACCGGUUCUCCAAACUAUUCAAAAUUUCCGCUACCGGUUCUCCAGAACUGGUCAGAACCUGCUGAAACCCACCUCUGGUCGGGAGCUCUGAUCCAUGGUUUUCAUAGCCGGUUUGCUCAAAAGCUUCAGCCUAGCACAUCUGCCGAGCACUGAAGCUAGGAAAGCAGAAAUAAGAACUGGUAUCUUUUUUCUGCAAUGACGGCUAAUGGCCACUGUUACUUUUGGCCAUUCUCCAUGACUUGCCACAUUAAACUCUGCUUAUUUUAACUAUGUUCAAGAAGGGUUGGGUUUUGGGCUUGUGGAGGAAGAAACGGCAAUCUGAGGCUGACUUUAUGAAAAGCAGAGCUGAUGACUGUGGUGAGAUUAAUAGUUCAGCUCUUUAGAAUUCCUUUCCUCUCGAAGUGCUGGUCUCCAGAGGCGUGGAGCUCUGGGAGACAGGGGAGUAGCUCAGACCUUUGAAGGUUCAAAUACUUGCUUUCCUAAUCGCUUCCGGAAGUUCCUCAUUCAACUGCUUUUCAACUAUUAGAACCCUUUGGAUCAGUGUGUUAGACAGUACCUGUUCCAGGUUGGAUCUCUGUUUAACGGCGUCCACCGGGUUACUUCUUGUCCUGCCCUCUGUUGCUUUGAAGAACAAAAUCAAUCUCCUGUCCUCCGUGACAGCCACUCAGUUACGGGAAGACUGCUAUUGUAUUUGUAGGAAGGGUCAGCUCGAGUCUCCAUCCAGGAGAAACGAGAGUGUCACCAAGUGAAGAGAGAAGCCCACUACUUGAAAAGAAAGUUCCCUUUAUUGAUGACCAUAAGCAGCUACAACAAUCGGUUCUGGGCAGUGGAAGGUGGCAAUAGCAAACGGCUUCUGGAAAACCUUGCCAAGAAACUCCAGGUGGCUUCCAGGAACUGGGCCCAGCUGAAUGGAAGAGAAUGAAAAAAAGACGGAAUAGGAGAAGAAGCGAUUGUUUGUUGUAUUUUAAGAGGUAAUUUGCACUUGGUGAAGGUGGGAUGUUACUUUUUAUAUCUUUCUGUAUUAUAGUUUUUUCCCAAACGCCAUCACUCUGCUAAACAAAUAAUUCCCUCAACACUGUCAAAUUAUUUACUAAGUCUGCACUACUAUUAAUCUUCUCAUCGUUCCCAUCAACCAUCUCCUUCCACUUAUGACUGUAUGACUGUAACUUUGUUGCUGGUAUCCUUACGAUUUAUACUGAUAUUGUUUCCUGAUUGCUUAUUUGUACCCUAUGACUAUCAUUAAGUGUUAAAUUUGUACCUAUGACUGUCAUUAAGUGUUGUACCUUAUGAUUCUUGAUGAAGGUAUCUUUUCUUUUAUGUACCCUGAAAGCAUAUGCAUCAAGACAAAUUCCUUGUAUGUCCAAUCACACCUGGCCGAUAAAAAAUGUAUUCUAUAGUUCAGCUCCUACUGAGACAGUCCGUUCCAUUGGGGGACACUUCUUGCUGUGCAGAUUUCUGGCUGAAAUCACUUUGCAGUUGCUGUGGACUCCUGCCUCCUAGCUCUGACAUUCAGGCCCCUUUUGCAGGCUCCGCUGCAGGGAGUUGUCUUCCCACUCCUACCUUCCUUCUAUUUUUCCUAACCAAUGAAGGCACUGGGCCCCCCACCUUCUUUCUGACACUUUGAUGAUCUCAUGCUUACCAUUUAUGAACCUGCUGGACCACGCAGGGCCUAGAAAGGAGCCCAGAGAUGUGCCACUCCAGGUUUCUUUCCAGCUUGAUGAGGACUCGUUGUGAUGCACUCAGUUGUUGUUCAUGAAUGUUCAAUGACAUCUGUGUCUGCCCCAUACUAGGGGUUAUAUUCACUACUGACCACUGUAAGCCACACACCCACUAUUGAGAGGGUGAAUACAGAAUAGAAUACAGAAUAACAGAGUUGGAAGGGACCUUGGAGGUCUUCUAGUCCAAUCCCCUGCUCGAGCAAGAAAUCUUACAUCAUUUCAGACAAGUGGCUGGCCUGUCUCUUCUUGAAAAUAUCCAGAGAUGGAGCACCCACAACUUCUGGAGGGAAGCUGUUCCACUGGUUAAUUGCAGGAGGCCCAGGUAAAAAACAAUGCUUAUAGUUCUCUAGUUUGAGAGUGCAAAUGAACAAGAAAGGAAUAGCAUCAAUGAUGUCAUCAUCCAACCCAUAUCUUGUCAUCUUUUCUUCAGGAUAUGACACCAAAGUAGAAACAGUUUAAAGUUCUGGGAAGAGAAGCAGGAAUAAGAUGAUCCUCAAAUAUCUGACACAAAAAUGAAAGCCGUCAUCUCUUCUUUCUUGUUCCAGAGAACAGCAUGUGGCGUAACGGAUUUAAGUUAGUGGACUUGGAAGUCCUGGGUAUGGAAGCCCUUCCCAAAAAUUCCAGAUAUUUGAAUCUGGAUCUCUGCAUGGUGCAGCGGAGGAAACCUGAUGAUCAAAAUAAUUCUAUAUUUUAAACAUUUCAAGAUUUUCCAUUUUGUUUCUGCAAAAGAGUGAUAACGGCUGAAGUUGCUAAUGGAAGAACUGACUGUACUUAGGCCAGACAAAUCUGUUGCACACUUAUUGAGCAGAUAUCUCUGACUCAAGGCUGGGAAAAGAACGUGGAUGUGGAAAAAGUGGAGGAAAUAACACAGAAUUUAAACCUGAGAGCAGGCAUGCAGUUAUAAGCUUAAUUUCUGGGUUCUGCAGUUGGCAGAUUUUCUGCAUAUAAAAAUCUGCUGACUUAAAAUAAAAUAAAACAAGAAAUAAGACGGAUUCCUCUUUUCAAAAGCAAUGUUGGAACCAAUUAUGGGUUUCAGCGAAUCCUAGGGCUGUAGAGCUGGAAGGCACCAGAGGGAUCAUGUAGUGUGCAGAAAAAUCCAUUUGUAGCAUCGUCAAGAUGUAGCUGCCCAAUACCUCCAGGGAUGGAGAAUGCACAACUUCCAAGGGAGACAAUUCUACUGGUGAUCAGACUUUUCCAUCAGGAAGUUUUCCCUAUACAGUAUUUGAAUGAAAUCUUAUACCUCUUACUUCUGGUGCCGGUAUCUCUGGGCCUGGAAAAUAAUUCUUACCAUUUUCGUGGUAGCUUCCUUUGAAGUGCCUGAACCCUAGUAUCCGCUCUCCCCACUCCCCUCUUUUCUCUAGAUUGAGUAUCUUCAAUUCCUUCAGACUAUCCUGAAAGGGCAGGUCCUGUUUCACCUUCCUCGCCUUUUCUAAACCCAUUCAAGCAUGCCAAAAUCCUUCUGGAAAUGUGCUGCCCCAAAUCAUGCUCCAGGCGUGGUCUCCCCAGAGCAGAGGGGAUGGGAAGAAGGACUUGGGGCAUUUUUGCUAGUGAUUCUUCUAACACAGCCCAAAACUGCAUCCGCCCUUCUAGUGCUAUCUCCCACUACCGAGCCACGUUCAGCUGGUUGUCGUAGUCCACACCCAAGCCUCCCUCUUCUGUUGUGCGUCCCAAAAUAUAAUUCCUUAAAUGUGUUGAAGCAAGUCUUGAUCUUCUCAAUCUGUAGUCUAAAUUAGACUACAUUCUGUCAUCAUCGGUGUUGGCCAGAUCUCCUAAUUUUGUGUUGCCUGCAAAUCUGGCAAGCAGCCUCUUAUUUGGGUCAUUAGCAACCUGUUGCAACCCACGGCCACAAGAUGGAUUCCUUUUGGUCAGUGCUCUUAACAUUAUGCAGAGGCAGCUGUUUAAUGCUGCUCCCUUUAGCCAGCUGGUUGUAGAUUUCUCAAAACAAGUCCUGGCAGGCUAGCUUUGGACUCAUCUGCACAAGCUUCUUGCUCUGGUGUGAAGAUACUUGACAAACCUUCAGACGCUUGUGGUUACAGUAACAUCUCACAACCAGUCAAUUUCUACAAACAAUCGCUUCAUCCUUUUAGGACGUCUUAAUCACUCAAACAAUUAAAGUUGUGGCAGGGGAACUUUAUUACUUUCAUUACUUUUUCCCCCCUUUUCUGUUCCCAGGCGAUCAUGAGCACCAAUAAAAGCAGACACCUUCCUAACAGUGUGCUCCCAUUAUGUACUGGAGAAUGACAACCAAGGGGUAAUAGAGAUAGUGAGUCCUGUCAACAAUAACAAGACAGUCCUUAUGUACAGAAAAGGCCCAUUCCCUGUCAAACAACAAUAAUAAAAGACAAGCCACCCCAGCAAACAAGCUAGCUGACACUUAUCUACGGGGAAGGUGGUGUCCACAAGUAACAGGAACAGAACUAACACACACCCAACAAAAAUAGAAAGCACUGAAGCAGAAGGGGGGGGGAACACAGUGAAUCAUUGAAGGCACAUGCAGUGAUACCUAUAACAAUAGUGACACCAACAUGUGCAGUCAGAACAUAGAUAUCCACUGGAAAUCUACUACCACUAUGUCCCAUCCAGUGUUGCAUCCAUCCCACACAGGAUGACAUUCAACAAUGAAAUCAACAACAAUAAUCAAUAAUACAACCGUCAU